rnacentral:rRNA from 1 species
AUUGAACGCUGGCGGCAUGCUUUACACAUGCAAGUCGAACGGCAGCGCGGGCUUCGGCCUGGCGGCGAGUGGCGAACGGGUGAGUAAUGCAUCGGAACGUGCCCAGUAGUGGGGGAUAGCCCGGCGAAAGCCGGAUUAAUACCGCAUACGACCUGAGGGUGAACGCGGGGGACCGAAAGGCCUCGCGCUAUUGGAGCGGCCGAUGUCGGAUUAGCUAGUUGGUGGGGUAAAGGCUUACCAAGGCGACGAUCCGUAGCUGGUCUGAGAGGACGACCAGCCACACUGGGACUGAGACACGGCCCAGACUCCUACGGGAGGCAGCAGUGGGGAAUUUUGGACAAUGGGGGCAACCCUGAUCCAGCCAUGCCGCGUGCGGGAAGAAGGCCUUCGGGUUGUAAACCGCUUUUGUUCGGGAAGAAAUCCUCUGGGCUAAUACCCCGGGGGGAUGACGGUACCGGAAGAAUAAGCACCGGCUAACUACGUG